rnacentral:rRNA from 1 species
GUCCGCACCGUAAACGAUGAUAACUUGGUGUUGGAGGUAUUGACCCCUUCAGUGCCGAAGCUAACGCGUUAAGUUAUCCGCCUGGGAAGUACGGUCGCAAGAUUAAAACUCAAAGAAAUUGACGGGGGCCCGCACAAGCGGUGGAGCAUGUGGUUCAAUUCGAUGCAACGCGAAAACCUUACCUGGGUUUGAAGUGCUAGUGAAUGUGGUAGAGAUAUCACAGGCCUUCGGGACACUAGUAUCAGGUGCUGCAUGGCUGUCGU